rnacentral:rRNA from 1 species
CAGUAGCCGCGGGAAUACGAAGGGGGCUAGCGUUGUUCGGAUUUACUGGGCGUAAAGCGCACGUAGGCGGAUCCUUAAGUCAGAGGUGAAAUCCCAAGGCUCAACCUUGGAACUGCCUUUGAUACUGGGGAUCUCGAGUUCGGGAGAGGUGAGUGGAACUGCGAGUGUAGAGGUGAAAUUCGUAGAUAUUCGCAAGAACACCAGUGGCGAAGGCGGCGACCUGGUCCUUUACUGACGCUGAGGCGCGAAAGCGUGGGGAGCGAACAGGAUUAGAUACCCCCGUAGUCCCUGUCUCUUAUAC